AUUGAACGCUGGCGGAAGGCCUAACACAUGCAAGUCGAGCGGAUGAGAGGAGCUUGCUUCUCGAUUCAGCGGCGGACGGGUGAGUAAUGCCUAGGAAUCUGCCUGGUAGUGGGGGACAACGUUGCGAAAGGAACGCUAAUACCGCAUACGUCCUACGGGAGAAAGCAGGGGACCUUCGGGCCUUGCGCUAUCAGAUGAGCCUAGGUCGGAUUAGCUAGUUGGUGAGGUAAUGGCUCACCAAGGCGACGAUCCGUAACUGGUCUGAGAGGAUGAUCAGUCACACUGGAACUGAGACACGGUCCAGACUCCUACGGGAGGCAGCAGUGGGGAAUAUUGGACAAUGGGCGAAAGCCUGAUCCAGCCAUGCCGCGUGUGUGAAGAAGGUCUUCGGAUUGUAAAGCACUUUAAGUUGGGAGGAAGGGUUGUAGAUUAAUACUCUGCAAUUUUGACGUUACCGACAGAAUAAGCACCGGCUAACUCUGUGCCAGCCGCCGCGGUAAUAC
rnacentral:rRNA from 1 species